GUGUCAGCAGCCGCGGUAAUACAGAGGGUGCAAGCGUUGCUCGGAAUUAUUGGGCGUAAAGGGCAAGUAGGUGGUCUCAUUUGUCUGGGGUGAAAGCCUUGAGCUUAACUCAAGAAGUGCCCCGGAAACGGUGAGACUCGAGUACUGGAGAGGGUCGUGGAAUUCCCGGUGUAGCGGUGAAAUGCGUAGAGAUCGGGAGGAACACCAGAGGCGAAGGCGGCGACCUGGACAGUAACUGACACUCAACUGCGAAAGCGUGGGGAGCAAACAGGAUUAGAUACCCUGGUAGUCCACGCUGUAAACGAUGGGAACUAGGCUUGGUGGGUCUUGACCCCUACCGAGCCGGAGCUAACGCAAUAAGUUCCCCGCCUGGGAAGUACGGUCGCAAGACUAAA
rnacentral:rRNA from 1 species